GAAGGGGGCUAGCGUUGCUCGGAAUCACUGGGCGUAAAGGGCGCGUAGGCGGCCAUUCAAGUCAGAGGUGAAAGCCCAAGGCUCAACCUUGGAACUGCCUUUGAUACUGUUUGGCUUGAGACCGGUAGAGGUAAGUGGAACUGCGAGUGUAGAGGUGAAAUUCGUAGAUAUUCGCAAGAACACCAGUGGCGAAGGCGGCUUACUGGACCGGUUCUGACGCUGAGGCGCGAAAGCGUGGGGAGCAAACAGG
rnacentral:rRNA from 1 species